rnacentral:misc_RNA from 1 species
AUUUCUUCCUAUUCUAUUAGGAUUCCUAUUUUGGAUGUAAAAAGACUUCCUACUUUAGUUAGGAUUAAUAUUUUCCUAUUAGGUUUAGGAGAUCAACUCUACAAAAAGCCCUUACUUCUAAGUAUUUUCAGUCACUGUUGUUAGAAUCUUACAAUUCUCAAUUCGAUUCAUAAGAUUCGAUCUGAUUCUCCAUCCUAGCAAUUCGAAUCUAUGGGAUGAAUUGCAAAUGUAUCUGCAUCAUGACUGAAUCUUACAAGUUAGUAGUGAAUUAAGUGAAUUGAUAUGAAUCAACCGAUUUAGUCGAUUCUUUUUCUAAAGAGUUGUUAAGUCCUAUAACUUCAAAAUUUAAGAUUUUAAUUCAUUUUUACCUUGAAAAGUGCACAUAAAACCUUCCUUUAGCUAUUUUCUUCCACUAGCAAUUCUUUUCCCUUCCCUCUUCUUUCUUUUUCUUUUUAGUUAAUUUACUUCUCUAAUUAUAGUUGUCAA